rnacentral:lncRNA from 1 species
GGCCUGUUUGAGCAGGCAUUGCAAAUCUUAAAAACAAUAAGAUGAAUAAUCAUCACUGUUUGAUCACUGCCAUUUAUUGAGUACCUUCUCCAUGGCAGAUGCUAAGAUAAGACCUAACAUGCAUCAUCUCUGAUUUUACAAGUCUUCGAGGUUGCAGCCAUGAAAAUGCCCUGGUCAGCCAUGAUUGACCAUGACAGGGGUACUAGUGCAGGCCUGUUCCUGCUGGACAUGGAACCCCUCUAAUGGCUUAAGGACUCCCACUGGCUGGCAGAAACUUUCUUAGAACAACACUGUAGUCUAAGACUCUUCCUACUGAAUUCUCUUUCCUUCUCCCUCUCCUUUCAUGGGGGUCAGGCCUGCACUGCAGUCUGGGGCUUCCUCUGCCUACUUCAGUUCCUUCCUGAACAUUUUACAGGUGUUUCCCCCAAUAAUUCUCUUAUAUGCCUAAUCCCAUCUUGGUGCCUGCAUCUCGAAGGAACUAACACAGUGGACAGGAGUCCCAUUUUGCAGACAGACACUGGAUCAAUGAUGAAGUUACUUGUGUAAGUCCUACAGCCAACAAAUGUUAAGAGCUGGGGUUGUGUGCAGGUAUGUUUGAUUCCACAAGCCAAGUCUUAGAAGCAUACUAGGCUUCCUCUCUAAUGAUCUAUGCAGGCUUAACUGUGAGGACAGGGAGUGAUGACACAUUUCAGUUUGGCCCCUUUGUUUUGUCGAUGAGAAACCUGAGACCAGUGAGGGAAAGGAUUCGCCCAUGGGUGCCAGUGGGAGGGGUGCACCUGGGCUGUGCACAGCCAUUUCCCUCCUUUGGAGGCUGAGGGAGGAGGUCACAGGGAGGCCUCAGGGUAUGGAGGGAGGUCAGGCUGGGGGGCUUAGUGUCUGACCCACCAGCCUGGCAGGCGGGAAUGUGCCUGUAGAAGCCCACGGCCCUCUUGGGGAGAAGCCAUGAAGUGAGGACUGAGUGCUGCCUGGAGGUGCUGGCUGGGAUGCACAGGGAAGAGCUGUCAGGGUAUGGGUCUAACACUGGAACAGCUGGGGGACAUUCCCUGGAUAUCCCUGCAUUGCCUUGAGGCUCUCCCAUCCCUGUUUGAUCCGUAAGCUCCAAGGAGACAUGUUUCCCAGCCAUAAUGCCUUCUGAUCCCAAUCUCUUCUACUCUUUUCAUUGGCAAGAGUCAUUCUCACCCGGGUUUUCUUAUAUAAUAAUUAUAAACUCAUUCAGGGCCUGUGAGUGAAAAGGCACACAUAUACAUUCAGGUCUAAUAUUCACUGAGCAACCAUCAGCACAAUGGUAUGUGACCUCUUUGAAUGCUGCACUAAUGCUCCACUGUCUAGAAGGAGGCCAGACUGCUCUGGGGACCAGGUGCAGAGGGUGCCCUCAAGUGUCUAGUGUCAGAGAGAGAGGGGCUACUCCACUUUGGCCAGGGUGAACUUGAGUUGGUGAUGACAAACAUCUGCAGCUAGUCUAUUUUUCUAAUCUCACCCUCCAAACAGCCCCAUCUUCUUGCAGGGAGGAUGGGUGAAGGCAUUUUCAAAAAUGGACAUCACAUGUGACAAACAGGCAAAGGACCCUGACAGAGCCACAAAACUGACACGCUCAUGAAAACUCAGACCGCUGACAAUGGUGAGCGCCGACCAAUUCAGCGCCAGGCGUGGAGGCUUCUGGCAAGAGUGGUGGGCUCUGUGCGUCCUGAUGGUGGCAGCAGAGACCAGCUUGGGAGCCACCUGGCUCCUCUGCCCUAGCCCAUUAUGGCCUGAAUCCAAUCAAUUUCAGUUCUCAGCACUUCUGAAAACGUGCGUGGCUUAGAGUGUCUGGCAGGGCUCAGGAGAGAAAAGCAUUUCUCAGCCCCGGGACACAUAUAUGCCUCCAGGCACUGGUUGUGGCUUGCAAUCUGGGAGGGCAGGUGAACGGACACCCUCCCUCCUUGCACAGGCCUGGGAUCUGCCUUACUCAACUCCCACUUCUACCAGGAGCAGAGGAUCACCGCUGCCCAGCACCCCGCCCAUCUGAAUUCUGACUCUGGUGGCUUCAGAGAAGCAAGGUAGGGGCCAGUGCUGGUAUGAAAUGCCAGAUGAGAGGAAACUGAUGCAUGCACUUUACUCCUGACUCAGAGUGCCUGAAAUAUCUGGCAAACUGGCAAAGGAUGAAACCCUUCUUUGAGGUCUGUAGAGUAGCUUUAAGAUAAAUGAAGCCACUGAGAAGGUCCAAAACAAGGGGCCCUUAGACGUGGAAGAGGUCUGCUUUCCUGAUAACUAGAGUGGUGCUGGGCUAUGAAAACAGUCCAAAUAGAUGAGGAUAGUUCCUGAGAGCACAGGGUUCUGAAGCUGGACAAAUAUUCUUCCACCUUAAUGGCCCUCUCACUGGAGCCUUCACAGGGUUAACGAUGGUCCCGCAGGAGUUGGGGCCAUGACUGAGGACAUGGAGCUGAUGUGGAGGCAGUCAGGGCCAAGGCAAGAGCCUCCUUGUGUAUAGUGGAAACGCAAGACAGACAUCAAAGGGAGUGGGGUGUGCGGUUCCCAAGGGGCUACCAGAGUCCACUUUUAUUAAAAGUUUGUGUCUUUCUUUAGAAAGUAAUAUGUUCCAUCUCCAGCACCUGAAGGCUCCUUUCAGGGUGCCAGAAGAAUCCUCAAGGGACAGUCCCAGGCUGUGUCCUUCCUCCUGUCUUGGCUGACAUUUUUAUGCAUGGUUUAGGCAGCCCAUGGGCUUUCCAGCUUUGCAAUAAGAUCUGAUCUAAUUUCAAGCUUAUACAUAACAGAAGGGCUGGGGGAGAAGUAGGAGUUCUUUUAGAAUUGCAAAAUCCAGGUGGGUGUAGCCUGUGGGGUGCAGGCUAUCCAGCUCAAAGAGGGAGGCCCAUAUCUCAGAUUCCCUAAUGCUCGGCACAGUGUCUGGCACACAAUGGGCACACAGGAAAUCCUGCACUGAAUCAAACAGAUUUUGUAUUACCAGAUCUAGGCUGACUCACUGUGUGGUCAGGACCUUGGGUCAAUCACUUCACCUGGUGACUCACUCCCUACCUGUAAGGUGUGGAGGACAGCUGGAGUCACUGUGGCACCUGUGUGUUUAGCAGUGUGUUUGCUUGUUCCUGCUUUUAUGUCUCUGGCUGGUCUAAGAUGGAAUGAUAAAAAAAUAACGGAAUGCACUUUGUAAACGAGAGCAUCCUAGACACAUGUAAAGAUUGGAAAAUUAGAAAGCUGUCUCUACUGUAGUUACUUCUCAGAUAUGACCAACCAUUAUUAAGAAUUCAUUGGCUAAUAGGGCUACAUUUUCUCAUGAUCAUUCUUCUGUUUUAGAAGUGGGCAACUGCAGUUUUAAGAAUAAAUGUGUAAAUGUGUGUUUUCAUGAGAGACAAUAAAGCUGUUUUCAUUAAGAAUGAAAUAUGCAACUUGCAAACACUUUUACUUUUCUUGAAUUGGGUCCUUCAGCAGAAGCAGUUUGCCCAGCCCUGACAUGGAAAGUUUACUUUGCUCAUCAACCUGAAGGAGACCGAAAGCUAUGAGAGGCGGCUCCUGAAAAGAAUCUAGACUCCGGAUAUAAAAAGAUCUUGCAACACAAGGCCAAGUGGAAAUCAUGGUUCGCAUUAAAGGCAUAAACCUCCUGCACUAACAACCCAGAGCAGGAGGAAAAGCUGGGAGACCUGGCUCAGCAGCCUUCCCUGAGGGAAGCCUUCGGGGCUUUGUUCCUCUUGAGAUCAGGGCAAGCCUAUGUAUGACCUGAAGCCAAUACAACCAGCAGAGCUGAUGCCAGUGCUGGCUGCCUGAGUGCUACUAAAGAAAGAGUCCACCAUCGGCUCCCUCUUCCGUAGCCAGACACAGGUGGAAUGCUGUGCUUCCUUUUGGGAGACAAAGCAGAAGCUACCCCAGAGGGGGCAGAUGGGAGACAGGCCCAGGCAAUGCAGCCCUACAAAGAAGACUUGAAGGGCCGGGGCUGAGCAGCUUGGAUGAAGAGAAGGCUGCCUUUCAGAGCUGUUUCAAAUGUUUCAGACGUUGCUAGACAAACUAGAGUUGUAUGGCUUCAGAUGGCACAGCUUAGGGCCAUAGAGUGGGAAUCACAAGAAGGCAAACUUUAGGCCCCCAGGAGAGCUGGACAACAACCUGGAGGGUCAGAGGAGAAUGGGCUGUCCAAGGAGCGGGGAUAUGAGGGUGGGGCAGUGUGGCCAUCCCUGGAAGGGGUAAGGGAGUGGCAGAUGGUAACCAUUUGGGGUGGGGUGUGGCUGAGGAUUCCUGCAAGGCUAUCAGAGAAACUCUAAGAAUCAUAAGAAUCAAAGCUCAAGUACAUGAGGGAAGACAUAAUGAAAUCCCUAAAGUUCUGAGAGGUUGUACCAGAUUCUUUAUGGAGAAUACAGAGAGAAUGCCUCCUGACUCCUCAUUCACAGAGUGCCAGGCAGCAGCAAGGAGAAGCUGGUGGCCUUGGGAGGGCAAAAACUAAGGACAAGGUCCACAAUGCAAUCAGCUCACAUCACCUACGAACAAAUAAAGUGGGGUGGGGGUGGAGAGUUGCUAGAGUUUACGUAACUCUCAAGCCUUAAUUUAGCUGCAAGAACUAGGUUUUUGCCAAAGCUAUAGAACUUCCCACCAGAUGAAAGCUUUAUCUCUUUUUCUUUCUUAGGAGAAGAGAGACAGAAGGAGAGAAGAGGGGCAGGAGGAGAGAAAACACAAGAAAGAGGAUGGAAGAUAAAGAGGAAGGCCAGAGUGAGGCAGGAGAAAGCUGAGCUGGAACCUAACUCCUGUUGAUCUGCUGCAGAGACCCUCUCAUUCCACAAUUGCUCCCGCCAUGCCAAGGAGACAAGCUCAACAUACAAAGAACAAGGAGAGAACAAUGGAAGAUGGCCUAUAAUUCAGAAGCACAUUGGGUGGAGCAUAUUGCACAUGUAGAAGCUUGUCACGGAACCCAAGAAAGCUGGAGGAACCUGGGAAGGCUUCCUGGAAGAAGGGAAAGCUGAGUUCUCUUAUCACCACUCCACCAUUUGUUCAUGUCCUCAUGUACAUAUUCAACAAACAUUUAUUGAGGGCUGAGUGUGGCUUUGUGUAUCCCAGAUAAACUAGUAUCCUGAUCUUAGCCAUGGAUCUCAGCUGCUACUAUCUCAUUCCCCACCAUGGGCAAUAAGAUGCAUACUGGUAGGGAAAAUUCUGGCAAAUUUUGUAAAGUUUAUCCAUAGGCAUAAACACUUUACCCUGUGUUAUGCUCAGAAGAGGAACACACAUUUAUUAAGCACCUACCACAUCUGCAAAUAACUUUACUCCCAAAAACUGAUUUGAUACUUAAGCAGCUUUUGUAAGGUGUGUUUCAUUCCCUAAAACUAAAGUUCAGAGAGGUUAAAAGAUUUAUCCAAGGUCACACAUUCAAGGUGGAGCCAAGAUGCACAACUAAGUCUAUUACUGUUUUUUUCAUACUCCCCCACUUCUCUGUCUCCCUCUUUCUAUUCUCAGCUGCAGACUCUGCCAGCUGCAAACUUCUUUAGUAGUUAUUCCUGAUUACUUCUGCUCCUGGUGAGCUCAUCACCUGAUUAAAGGGCUCCUAGCUUCACCAGACCUUGGAGAUGACAAACAGAUGACCCUGGAGAGGCAGGCUCUCUAGGGCUGUUCCAUUUUGGUCUGGCCCCCAUUCCAGCCGGGGAUAUAGUUCAAACCCUGACUCUGAGUUGAGCCCAAGAAAAUAAGACCAAGAUGAAAGCUUAAGUGCAUCCCCUGAAAGGCUCUUAUCUCCAGGCUAAGCUUGGAAGUGGGGAGACAGAGCACCACAACCCAACUUGGGGAUGUUGUCUCUUGUAGAAACACCUUCCUCAGUAACAGAAGGGUAGCUGCCCCUAUGUCCUAGAGAGCGGGAGUAAGAGAAAGUGGCUCCUUGCCUCUGAGAUUUGCUUAGCUGAUCCUCCCUCACCCCAACCAUAGCUCUUAACAAACCCAGGUACGCAUAAAUAUAAAUACCACCCUAUGUGUAUUUCCUGUGCCCUCCCUUUUCUCUUUCCUGAGGAGUUAUGGAGAGAAAAUAAAUGCCAGAAUUACAGAAAACUAGGUAUAAAUCUACUCACUAGCUUUAUGGCCUUGCAUCUAUUUCCCAUAUAAGCUGGCAGGGUUGGGAUUCUGUCUAGCUCUUUCCAUUUAUCAUGAUGUCCUCUUUUUGGUUCUUUUAGAUUUUGCAUCGGGUUGAUGUAGUGGAUGCUGUAGUCCACUACCCAGAUUCCUUCCCCAACCCACAACAAUGAGGUUCUCAUUCCGGAGCUGCUAGGAGGGAUGCCAGAUAAUAGCACACAGCUGAACUUCUCUUCAGCUAUUGCCCUCAGAUUAAGAAAGCUGCCUUGCUCAAGGUUACACGCCUUUCCUGGGAAACCAGUAUCCAAUGACUGGUUCCUGUAAAAGGAAUGGAGCUGCCUUAAAAGAGCUGCCUUGCUUCAAUUUGGGAAGACUAUGAAGAGCCAUCCCAGCUCUGGAGUUCUCCGUAGGGUUGGGUUUUUGAGACUAUGCAGAAGUUAUUCCAUGAGUUCCAAGCCCAGGUCAUGAAAGAUAACUUGUAAUAAAUCUGGCUACCCUGAAGCUGCCAUGCUUGAGAGACCACACGAGAUGGAGAGAGAUGCUUAGGAGUCCCAGCUGUCCAAGCCUCCAGCUAUGUGAAUCUUCCCAGCAGCAACUGCCAGACAUGUGGUACACCCAAAAUGACUUUGGGGCUACACUUGGAAUUGGCAAGGUUCCAGAAAACAGAGGGACUAUCAUCAGAGACAGCGCACAAAAAGUGGGAGAAAGGUCACCAGCCUCACUCAUGUUUAGGGCUAUUAUGAAUAAAGCUGCUAUGAACACUUGUUUACAAGUUCUUUGUGAGGACACAUGUUUUCAUUUAUCUUGGGAAAAUACCUAGAGAUGGAACUCUGGGACACAUGGUAAUAAAGUAUAUUGGCAUAAUGCAAGAGUCAAGAUGCAGAAAAUAACUACUGUGUGAUGUCUCUCUCCCAGCUUUAACCCGCCUGAAGGGCAGCACUGAGUUCAACACACUGUCCCACAAUUGUUGCACUCUCACACUGAAGUGAACAGAUUCUUUCUCCGUGCCGUGCAGCUCCCGGCAGAGGAUGAGGGAAGGGUACCAUCGGUGAUUCAGCACUGUGUUUCCUAUCCUCUUCAAUGACUCUUUCAGCGAUAUGAAGGUAAAACCAGUUAGGUGAAUGGAGCACAUGGCUAUGCUUUGUUUUAAAUGAAAGUCUUUGUCAUCCAGCGGAGGACUUUAAUUCAUUUACAUUUAUUGACAUAAAUGUUGACUUGAAAGCGUGUGUCAGAUCCCUUCACUAUAUCUUCAGACCUGCCCCAAGGAGUGAGGAAGGGCAACACCAAGAACUUCUCUCCAAGGACCAUAACCUGCGAACCCCAUCUCACCUCCUCCUGCCAGAUGGACACAGUCAUUGUCCUCCUGGCUGAUCCCAUGUCCAUGUCUUGCUCUGGCUACUUUCAUACACCCAUAAUGACAUUUUCCAUCUACUCAAUUUUUUAAAAGCUCAGCUCGAACCUCACGGAUUUUCCUGACAAUCUGCUUCUCUCAAUGGCCUUAAUUUAAGUGAGGGUUGUCAGUCUUACUGGGUCUCGUUUUUUGUCUUAAAUAAUAACUAUUUAUGGGUAUCAAGUGUCUCCUCAAUUUGGCUAUGAUCCUUCACGGCAGAAAUACUGUCUUAUCUUGUGAUCAUGGAGUCACAAGAUUUCAUGGCUAGGAAUAUUCGUCAAAUUAAUCCUAGAUUGAGGAUCAGGUAGUAUGUGGUCUGAUUCUAACUCAACAACUUGCAGAAACUCACUUCUUUUUUCUUUUUUUUUCCCCAGGAGGAGCUAUCGUAUUAACUGACGAAACUCACUUCAUUUCUUUGGACCUGCAAAAUGAGGAUGGGCUCUAAACCACCUCUAAAGUUAAUAUUCUAUGAUUCCAUGAUAAGGCUAUUUGUCAUUUAUAAAAAAAGGAACUUCCACAUAGCCCAGAGAAAGGAAAUGACUUUUUCAAGUUUACAGAGUCAAUUAAUGGACGAAAUGUAAUUUGAAAUUCAAUCUCCUGAUCCCCAGUCUAUUGGGAGUUCUUUCAGAAUGUCCCUUGACUGUCCCUCAAAGUGCCAGCAUGUAUGAAACCUUGUUAAGGAUGUAUGCUCAAUGAAAAUACACAAAUUGACUUAACAAGAAACUAAACUCUCCAGAAAGAUGCAGUUGACCCAAAACUCUGAAUAUCUUUUAUGUUUAAAACUUUCUUUUUUGAACAAAAUUGUACAGUUACUUCUCUAUUUCAACUCUUAAGCCUUUUAUGCCACGUCAAAGGUUAGCUCUCUUUUCUCUCUGUUAAUAAAGUCUUAUUCUUGACUUUGGAACUGUA